rnacentral:misc_RNA from 1 species
CGAGUUUGCUCUUCUUGGUCACGACCCUUGGUUCCUGUGUUGCCUUCCCGUUGUAUGGAAUAAUUCGUGAGUCAGCCCCGCACCUGUCCUCAUUGUGGCUUUGCGGCUCCGAUGCGGACCUCGAAAGCAUUCCCCGUGUCCCGGGCAUAUCCUCUGACUUUUGUCGUGGCUGUCUCGGUCCACAGGGCAACUGCUCGUGCUCCCGGAUGUGGAAAAUUAAGCGGACGUGGGGGGGUCUCGGCCUCCGGUUGCUCCAAAUCUAGUCCCUCGAUAAGAAUGACUCUCGCUACCCCAUCGACGGCCUUGUGGCAUCGAUGCGGGUCCGAAGUCGUGAAAGAAUGCUAC